rnacentral:rRNA from 1 species
CGGCGAACGGGUGAAUAACACGUGGGUAAUCUGCCCUGCACUCUGGGAUAAGCCCGGGAAACUGGGUCUAAUACCGGAUACGACCACUGGACGCAUGUUCGGUGGUGGAAAGUUCCGGCGGUGCAGGAUGAACCCGCGGCCUAUCAGCUUGUUGGUGGGGUAAUGGCCUACCAAGGCGACGACGGGUAGCCGGCCUGAGAGGGUGACCGGCCACACUGGGACUGAGACACGGCCCAGACUCCUACGGGAGGCAGCAGUGGGGAAUAUUGCACAAUGGGCGAAAGCCUGAUGCAGCGACGCCGCGUGAGGGAUGACGGCCUUCGGGUUGUAAACCUCUUUCAGCAGGGACGAAGCGCAAGUGACGGUACCUGCAGAAGAAGCACCGGCUAACUACGUGCCAGCAGCCGCGGUAAUACGUAGGGUGCGAGCGUUGUCCGGAAUUAUUGGGCGUAAAGAGCUCGUAGGCGGUUUGUCACGUCGGCCGUGAAAACCUGGAGCUUAACUCCGGGCCUGCGGUCGAUAC